rnacentral:rRNA from 1 species
CGAGCGGACAGAUGGGAGCUUGCUCCCUGAUGUNAGCGGCGGACGGGUGAGUAACACGUGGGUAACCUGCCUGUAAGACUGGGAUAACUCCGGGAAACCGGGGCUAAUACCGGAUGCUUGAUUGAACCGCAUGGUUCAAUUAUAAAAGGUGGCUUUUAGCUACCACUUACAGAUGGACCCGCGGCGCAUUAGCUAGUUGGUGAGGUAACGGCUCACCAAGGCAACGAUGCGUAGCCGACCUGAGAGGGUGAUCGGCCACACUGGGACUGAGACACGGCCCAGACUCCUACGGGAGGCAGCAGUAGGGAAUCUUCCGCAAUGGACGAAAGUCUGACGGAGCAACGCCGCGUGAGUGAUGAAGGUUUUCGGAUCGUAAAACUCUGUUGUUAGGGAAGAACAAGUACCGUUCGAAUAGGGCGGUACCUUGACGGUACCUAACCAGAAAGCCACGGCUAACUACGUGCCAGCAGCCGCGGUAAUACGUAGGUGGCAAGCGUUGUCCGGAAUUAUUGGGCGUAAAGCGCGCGCAGGCGGUUUCUUAAGUCUGAUGUGAAAGCCCCCGGCUCAACCGGGGAGGGUCAUUGGAAACUGGGGAACUUGAGUGCAGAAGAGGAGAGUGGAAUUCCACGUGUAGCGGUGAAAUGCGUAGAGAUGUGGAGGAACACCAGUGGCGAAGGCGACUCUCUGGUCUGUAACUGACGCUGAGGCGCGAAAGCGUGGGGAGCGAACAGGAUUAGAUACCCUGGUAGUCCACGCCGUAAACGAUGAGUGCUAAGUGUUAGAGGGUUUCCGCCC